rnacentral:rRNA from 1 species
AGAGUUUGAUCAUGGCUCAGAAUCAACGCUGGCGGCGUGCCUAACACAUGCAAGUCGAACGUGAAAGCCCCGCAAGGGGUGAGUAGAGUGGCGCACGGGUGAGUAACACGUGGAUAACCUGCCUUUGAGUGGGGAAUAACCUUCCGAAAGGAGGGCUGAUACCGCAUAACACCCUUGGACAAAGGUCAAGGGGUUAAAAGGAGCAAUUCGCUCAAAGAGGGGUCCGCGCCUGAUUAGCUAGUUGGCGGGGUAACGGCCCACCAAGGCUUCGAUCAGUAGCCGUCCUGAGAGGGAGCACGGCCACACUGGAACUGAGACACGGUCCAGACUCCUACGGGAGGCAGCAGUGGGGAAUUUUUGGCAAUGGGCGAAAGCCUGACCAAGCAACGCCGCGUGGGUGAUGAAGUAUCUUGGUACGUAAAACCCUUUCGGCAGGGACGAACUUAAUGACGGUACCUGCGGAAGAAGCCCCGGCUAACUCCGUGCCAGCAGCCGCGGUAAUACGGGGGGGGCAAGCGUUGUUCGGAAUUAUUGGGCGUAAAGGGCGCGUAGGCGGUUAGAUAAGUCGGCUGUGAAAACCUCGGGCUUAACUCGAGGCCUGCAGUUGAAACUGUCUAGCUGGAGUGUGGGAGAGGAGAGUGGAAUUCCCGGUGUAGCGGUGAAAUGCAGAUAUCGGGAGGAACACCGGUGGCGAAGGCGGCUCUCUGGACCACUACUGACGCUGAGGCGCGAAAGCUAGGGGAGCAAACAGGAUUAGAUACCCUAGUAGUCC